rnacentral:piRNA from 1 species
UGAUAAGAAAGUAGCAGCCAAAUUCUGUCCU